rfam:Triticum aestivum genome assembly, contig: Triticum_aestivum_CS42_TGACv1_scaffold_579931_7BL
AAGGUGGACGAAGAAGAUGUGGUUUCACACAUCCUUGCUGGGCUGGAGGAAGAAUUCGAUCCCGUGGUUUCUGCCAUGUGCUCAUGGGUCGAACCUGUGACUGUCCCGGAGCUAUACUCGCAGCUUCUGAGCUUCGAGA